rnacentral:rRNA from 1 species
GAUGAACGCUGGCGGCGUGCCUAAUACAUGCAAGUCGAGCGAACAGACGAGGAGCUUGCUCCUCUGACGUUAGCGGCGGACGGGUGAGUAACACGUGGAUAACCUACCUAUAAGACUGGGAUAACUUCGGGAAACCGGAGCUAAUACCGGAUAAUAUCUUGAACCGCAUGGUUCAAUAGUGAAAGACGGUUUUGCUGUCACUUAUAGAUGGAUCCGCGCCGCAUUGGUUAGUUGGUAAGGUAACGGCUUUCCAAGGGAACGCUGCGUAGCCGACCUGAGGGGGGGUACGGCCCCUCAGGAGCUGAGACACGGGCCAGACACCGACGGGAGGCAGCAGUAGGGAAUCUUGCGCAAUGGGCGAAAGCCUGACGGAGCAACGCCGCGUGAGUGAAGAAGGGCUUCGGAUCGUAAAACGCUGUUAUUAGGGAAGAACAAAUGUGUAAGUAACUAUGCACGUCUGGACGGAACCGAAUCAGAAAGCCACGGCUAACUACGU